ACCGUGAAUAGGUCAGGUAUUUGCAUUUUUUUUAUCUGCAGCGCCCCAUAAGAAAUUAUCCGAAGGAAGUGUCACCACCAGGAUUCUUAUUCAAGUGAUUCGAUUCUUACAAAUUGGGUAAACGAUAAAACAUGAUGUGUUAAUCUCUUUCAUCGCGGGGUAUUAUGGGUGCUGGUGCCACACAGUAAUCCACAUGUCUGCCUAAAAGCGGCACCUUGAGGUAGUGGUGGUAGGAUUUCUACGAGUUGUACGAUUGCACCAUUCUAAGUUCGAGGUAUUUACUGAGUACGCAAGAUUAUAGACCAGUUGAAAUCCAGAGACAAAUCGAGGAACCAACGAUGGAGCCUCACUACAGAAAUCUAAACCAGAAAAAUAACUUCUAACGCUGACAAUCACUUGAAACUCCAGGAAGCUGAAAGAGACCAUGUCAGCGGAUCAAAUGAAACAAACUGCGAACCACCUUUCGAGACUAGCGAGUUAGUGCAACCACAAUAAUGUGCGCAUACUGAACCAGGCCGGAGGAGAUAAUCGAAUCAUAACUGCAACGAAGUACUAGCAUAAAGUGCAAUGCAAUGCAAUGCUUCUAGAUUAGGGUGACAUCAUCGAAUGGUGAAAGGAAAUCAAAGAGAGUAUCUGAAACUGAAGUCGAAGGGCAGCAGCUAGAGGGUUUCAGUGACAAGCUUGCUCGUGCCUUGAGGAGAGCUAGAAAACUAGUAACCUGCUUCACAAGAGAGAUGCUGCAGCCUAUUUCUUGGUAUAAUACACUCGUCCGUUUCACAAAGAUAAAACUAUCCAGAAACAGUUCAGCUCGCGAGAAAUCCACAAACCAUCACUGGAGCUGCAACAACAAGUGCCCAAGGAAACAGCGACGAGGUGCUCGGUGGGAGAAACUUACUCAGAAUAGCAGGCGCUGCAUGCUGUACAAUGGUGGCCCUAGGGGAGGAUGUGAAGAUAAGCAGCGCUUUGUAGACUCAUCAAGACCCGGGGCGAAUCAACUCAUCACGGAGGACUGCUUCAGUCUUGUAGACCAAAUUAAUAAUAGUGAAAUCUUGCAAUACUUUAUUUGCACAUUUUCGUUCGAUGACAAACUUGGAUUCUGCUUUGUAUCUGUGCAUUGGGCUGAAUGAUUGACUUGCCACACGACAAGUGCGCGAAGUACAUGAUUUGGCCCAGCUCCUGCAUAGUACUGCAAUGUAUUGCCCGGCAUUGAAUUGUUGGUGUUUUUUUCUGAGCCAAUGACCCAGUUCUCGAUUUCUUAGUUACCAAAAUGUGUUGUGAGAUAAACAUUAAAUGGUUGCAUUCAUGCUGUUCAGGAAAUGAACUUCAAGUGAGGAUAGCUUGAAGCAAUUCAGAACGUUUUCCUCUUCACCAAAUUUUGGUAUGGGAUCCACGGUUCUGAGUGGUAUUCUGAACAUCACCCAAACAUGUGGGCCUACUCGUUUCCAUCUCUCCUCACAUCAACUUAUGUACGCGACACCUACAUUCACUAUCGGCGUUCAUUUCUGCUGUUAAAACAGGAUGUGUAAUGCAUGGUUGGGGCAACACAGAAGGAACAAAAAUCUAUCGAGAGAAUACAAUGACCAGGCGAAGCUUUCCUAGGUUGUACCAGGCAGUUUGUGGUCAAUUAACUUCAACUGCUGCUCAGUGCCCUUCUAAUUGCGAUAACAACAAUCCUCCCGAAGUGUGCAUGUCAAUAGUUGAUAGUAACAUCACAACCAAAAAAAUUAAGCGUCCUCGCCCACCUGAUCACAUGAAUACCAGUUAAUGGUCUGGCAACGCAGUGAAACAGCUUCAAGGGAGGGGACAAGAUUAACUGCCUCACGAAAUUAUUGCUCCCGUUGUAGCUGAAAGCGAAAAUGGAACUACUCACCGUCAAAUCUUUACAACAUCGAAUUGACGAGUGUAAUUUUCAGAAUUUUAAGGUCACAGAGGUAGUCGUUGUGUGCGCUUCACUCGUUCCAGUGGGGCUCAGACCAUUGCUGCUUAAAAGUCGAUCAACAAAUUAUGUGCUUGGAGCACACCUCCACUACACUGGGUGAAUUCAGAUCGAAGCUCCACUUUGAGGAGCUUGAAGUGACGUCUCUGGUAAACCUCGGUUUCUAAGAAGCUUGAUUUGAAAGUUACUCUGCGACGCCCUCACAAAGGCCGUGAUUAUUCGGUGAGCACAAUGGGUUGCUGAGUCAUUCAGAAUCAACGGCUGACAAGACCGGACUAGUCUGCUGGAUACCCAGGCCCUCAUUGUGCUCAUGUCUUGACUGGCAUGAGCACAUGCUUUCCUGCGUGGAGUUGUCAGCCUUCAUCGGUGGCCAUCCGACACCAGAUACCUGGAAUUUACCACGAAUCACUUUUGAUUGAAGCGUCAACACGAGCCCACAUCUUAGUCACAGGAGGCAAGUCGUGAUUAGAUUUAUUUAUAAUUAGUUUGUUACAGUUGUGCAUCUUGGGUGAGCAUGUAGAGUUCGCUCAUUCUCCACAUUCAAAUUUCUUCUGUACAGCUACGGGCAAAUAUUUAUUCCAUGAUGUGCAGAACAAAGGUGGAUCGAUAGGUUGCAGUGAACGGCAACAUCUUCGGAGAAUCUCAUCUCAGUUUGUGGAACAAAAAAGUGUUAUUUCGAAGCCAUCAAUCCAGAUUCAAACUUACAAAUUAUUCGUUAACAUUAUUGUUAUUCUUUUUUGCAUUGAGAGAAACCAAGUUAAAUUUCCGAAAAAGCUUCAAGCUUUGUACGGGUGCAGCCAAAAACU